UACGUAGGGGGCUAGCGUUGUCCGGAUUUAUUGGGCGUAAAGAGCGUGUAGGCGGCCUGGUAGGUCUGCUGUGAAAACUCGAGGCUCAACCUCGAGAUGUCGGCGGAAACCAUCUGGCUAGAGUCCGGGAGAGGAGAGUGGAAUUCCUGGUGUAGCGGUGAAAUGCGCAGAUAUCAGGAGGAACACCGAUGGCGAAGGCAGGUCUCUGGGCAUUAACUGACGCUGAGGAGCGAAAGCAUGGGGAGCGAACAGG
rnacentral:rRNA from 1 species